AUGGCCAUGGCAGCCUCUCCUCCUCGCGUCCUCUGCGCCGCCCUCCUCGUCCUCCUCGCGUCGUCCCUCAUCUGGGCUUCUUGCGAGGCAGAGGCGGCGGGAGAUGGCCGGCGGCGGCUCGCCAUGCUGCCGCCGAGAGGGUGGAACUCGUACGACUCCUUCUCCUGGACCAUCGACGAGGCCGCCUUCCUCCACAACGCGCAGAUCAUGGCCGACAGGCUGCUCCCGCACGGAUACCAGUACGCGGUGAUCGACUUCCUGUGGUACCGGAAGAACGCCAACGGCUCCGGGGAGGACUCGUACGGCUUCGACAGCGUCGACCAGUGGGGGCGCCCGUUCCCCGACCCCGAGAGGUUCCCGUCGUCCGCCGGCGGCGAGGGGUUUAAGCACGUCGCCGAUAAGGUCCACGCCAUGGGCCUCAAGUUCGGCAUCCACCUCAUGAAUGGCAUCAGCACCCAGGCCGUCAACGCCAGCACCCCCAUCCUCGACGUCGACACGGGAAAAGCCUACGUAGAGGAUGGCCGGCAAUGGACGGCGAGCGACAUAGGCCUCACCCACAGGACCUGCGCGUGGAUGUCGAACGGGUUCAUGAGCGUAAACACCGACGCGGGGGCCGGGCGAGCGUUCCUCAGGUCUCUUUACCGGCAGUACGCCGAUUGGGGUGUCAAUUUCGUGAAGUUAGAUUGCAUCUUCGGCACAGACUACAGCCCGAAGGAGAUCAUGGCUGUUUCAGAGACCCUGAAAGAGCUUGAGCGGCCGGUCAUCCUGUCCAUCUCCCCCGGAACCGAAGUCACUCCGGCAUUAGCCGAGAACAUCACCCAGCACGUUGACAUGUACAGGAUAACAGGGGACGACUGGGACAGCUGGAAAGAUGUUCGCCCGCAUUUCGAUGUCGCCAGAUCAUUUGCCGAUGCGAAUAAGAUCGGCGCCACCGGAUUGAGAGGGAGGUCUUGGCCUGACUUGGACAUGCUUCCGUUCGGCAGGCUUACUGAUGCAGGUGUUAACCAGGGCCCUCACAGAAGCACUAACCUUACAUUCGACGAGCAAUUAACACAGAUGGUGCUUUGGUCGAUGGCCAAAUCCCCCCUCAUGUAUGGAGGUGACUUGAGGCAUCUCAACGAUGAUACAUUCGAUCUAAUCACCCACCCUACUCUGCUGAAGAUUAAUCACCACACUAAAAACAACAUGGAGUUUGGUUAUAUUCACAGUGAAAGGACUUCAGAACGCAAUGAACAUUCUGGUCGCUCGGACCUGACAAACAAUGGUGGAACUGUUCUUGGUCUUGCUACCUGCAACGAUAAGAACACCGGUGGAUGGCACAGUUCCUCAAAAGAUCACAUUUGCAGAGGCUUUGGAAUCCAGAAUGACAAUGCCUCAUUUUGCAUGUCCAAAGCAAAACUUCUUCCAACAUCGGAUGGAGUUACCAUGAGCGGUGUGGAAGACCAAGCGAAGUUCCAUCUGGUGGGUAUUGACACCAAUGAUGGUUGCUUGGAUGCAUCUGUCAGUCCCAUGUUCUCGACCUGCGAACAGCAUUCAAAGCAGGUCUGGGAGCUAACGGAGAAUGGACAACUUAAAAGCAGCUACUCAGGAUUGUGUGCUACAAUGAAGUCCAGCAAGGAAGGAGAGAGUGAAACUACUGGAGCACGAGCAUGGACAGCAACUGGAGACAAAGGAGAGAUCUACCUGGCCUUCUUCAACCUUGACACUGCGAGCAGGAAGAUUGCUGUAAGGGUGCCGGAUCUAGAGAAGGUUGCAGGGCAAAAGUUGGCAAGGAAACACCUGUGCACCUGCACUGAAGUCUGGAGUGGAAAGAGCCGGAGUCUCAUGAAGGGGGACAUCUCAGAGGUGGUGAGCGCACAUGGCUCCAUACUGUUUGAAAUCCAGUGUUGA
rnacentral:rRNA from 1 species